AUACGUAGGGUGCAAGCGUUAAUCGGAAUUACUGGGCGUAAAGCGUGCGCAGGCGGUUUUGUAAGACAGUGGUGAAAUCCCCGGGGUCAACCUGGGAACUGCCAAUGUGACUGGAAGGCUGGAGGGCGGACGAGGGGGGUGGAAUUCCGCGUGUAGCGGUGGAAUGCGUAGAUAUGCGGAGGAACACCGAUGGCGAAGGCAAUCCCCUGGGCCUGCACUGACGCUCAUGCACGAAAGCGUGGGGAGCAAACAGGAUUAGAUACCCUGGUAGUCCACGCCCUAAACGAUGUCAACUGGUUGUUGGGGAUUUAUUUUCUCAGUAACGAAGCUAACGCGUGAAGUUGACCGCCUGGGGAGUACGGCCGCAAGGUUAAAACUCAAAUGAAUUGACGGGG
rnacentral:rRNA from 1 species